GAGGAAAAGAAACCAACAGGGAUUGCCUUAGUAACGGCGAGUGAAGCGGCAAAAGCUCAAAUUUGAAAUCUGGCACCUUCGGUGUCCGAGUUGUAAUUUGAAGAAGGUAACUUUGGGAUUGGCUCUUGUCUAAGUUCCUUGGAACAGGACGUCACAGAGGGUGAGAAUCCCGUGCGAUGAGAUGACCAAUCCUAUGUAAAGUGCUUUCGAAGAGUCGAGUUGUUUGGGAAUGCAGCUCUAAGUGGGUGGUAAAUUCCAUCUAAAGCUAAAUAUUGGCGAGAGACCGAUAGCGAACAAGUACAGUGAUGGAAAGAUGAAAAGAACUUUGAAAAGAGAGUGAAAAAGUACGUGAAAUUGUUGAAAGGGAAGGGCUUGAGAUCAGACUUGGUAUUUUGCAUUCCUUACCUUCGUGGUGGGGUUCCUUGCAGUUUACUGGGCCAGCAUCGGUUUGGAUGGUGGGAUAAUGACAUUGGAAUGUGGCUCUGCUUCGGUAGAGUGUUAUAGCCAGUGUUGAUACCGCCUGUCUAGACCGAGGACUGCGUCUUUGACUAGGAUGCU
rnacentral:rRNA from 1 species